AACGGGUGAGUAACACGUGAGUAACCUGCCCUUAACUCUGGGAUAAGCCUGGGAAACUGGGUCUAAUACCGGAUACGACUGAUCAUCGCAUGGUGGUUGGUGGAAAGCUUUAUUGUGGUUUUGGAUGGACUCGCGGCCUAUCAGCUUGUUGGUGAGGUAAUGGCUUACCAAGGCGACGACGGGUAGCCGGCCUGAGAGGGUGACCGGCCACACUGGGACUGAGACACGGCCCAGACUCCUACGGGAGGCAGCAGUGGGGAAUAUUGCACAAUGGGCGCAAGCCUGAUGCAGCGACGCCGCGUGAGGGAUGACGGCCUUCGGGUUGUAAACCUCUUUCAGUAGGGAAGAAGCGAAAGUGACGGUACCUGCAGAAGAAGCGCCGGCUAACUACGUGCCAGCAGCCGCGGUAAUACGUAGGGCGCAAGCGUUAUCCGGAAUUAUUGGGCGUAAAGAGCUCGUAGGCGGUUUGUCGCGUCUGCCGUGAAAGUCCGGGGCUCAACUCCGGAUCUGCGGUGGGUACGGGCAGACUAGAGUGAUGUAGGGGAGACUGGAAUUCCUGGUGUAGCGGUGAAAUGCGCAAAUAUCAGGAGGAACACCGAUGGCGAAGGCAGGUCUCUGGGCAUUAACUGACGCUGAGGAGCGAAAGCAUGGGGAGCGAACAGGAUUAGAUACCCUGGUAGUCCAUGCCGUAAACGUUGGGCACUAGGUGUGGGGGACAUUCCACGUUUUCCGCGCCGUAACUAACGCAUUAAGUGCCCCGCCUGGGGGAGUACGGCCGCAAGGCUAAAACUCAAAGGAAUUGACGGGGGCCC
rnacentral:rRNA from 1 species